rnacentral:rRNA from 1 species
UACGGAGGGGGCUAGCGUUGUUCGGAAUUACUGGGCGUAAAGCGCACGUAGGCGGCUUUGUAAGUUAGAGGUGAAAGCCCAGGGCUUAACUCUGGAAUUGCCUUUAAAACUGCAUCGCUAGAAUUGUGGAGAGGUAAGUGGAAUUCCGAGUGUAGAGGUGAAAUUCGUAGAUAUUGGGAAGAACACCGGUGGCGAAGGCGGCGACCUGGUCCGAUACUGACGCUGAGGCGCGAAAGCGUGGGGAGCAAACAGG